CUCACCGCAGAGGCAGAGGCGGCCAACGGCGGCCGGAGAGCACCCAACCCAACCCUAGCGACCCAAGGCGACGCGAGAUCUCGGCCAUGAGCAGCGCGCCGCCCCCUCUCGAUGAGUCCUCGGGCCCCGCCGGGCAGCCGCCGGAGGACGACGGGGGGAGGAGGGUCAGGAAGCCCUACACCAUCACCAAGUCGCGGGAGAGUUGGACCGAGCCCGAGCACGACAAGUUCCUCGAGGCGCUGCAGCUGUUCGAUCGUGAUUGGAAAAAGAUCGAAGCAUAUGUUGGCUCCAAGACAGUAAUACAGAUCAGAAGCCAUGCGCAGAAGUACUUUUUGAAGGUUCAAAAGAACGGGACAGGCGAACAUUUACCCCCACCUCGGCCAAAGCGGAAGGCGGCACAUCCAUACCCACAUAAGGCCUCGAAAAAGGCCCCUCAUGUUGUCUUACCACAACAAGCUUCUCUUAUAAUGGAGCAAGGUUGUCUUAUACCUAUGGACGCAUCUCCUGUUGUUAGAAAGUUUUGUGCUAAUGAUGUGUUUCCUUCCUGGGACAGUGGUCUUGCCCAAAGUUUCAGUCCAAGACAUACACAGGGCGUGGCAAAUAAUUGUUCUAGUAGCAUAGAGAGCCAAUCUGGAACUUGGCCAACUUCUGAGGCAAUUGAGCAAGAGAUUGGACUUCCAAAACUGCGUGCCUUGCCAGACUUUGCUCAAGUAUACAACUUCCUGGGAAGUGUAUUUGAUCCAGAGACAAGUGGGCAUCUGCAGAGGUUGAGAGAGAUGAACCCCAUUGAUGUUGAAACAGUGCUGUUGCUGAUGAAAAAUUUGUCAAUAAACCUGGCAAGCCCACACUUUGAAGCACAUCAAUGGAAGCCCCUUAUUGUUGCAGAGGAAGGUACUCGCAUCACAUGGCUCUAGUGGUGACCAAGUGAAGCAUGAGACUUUAGGAGAUCUGGGAUCAACUCACAAACUUCAUCUACCCUUCAUGGUAACAAGCAAAUGAGAGAACACUGCUUUGAGCAUCCAUUGGGGGUAACAAGCAAGCCCUGCUGUCAGCACCCAUUGGCGAUUUUGAGUGACUCUGUAAUACACAUUGUGAAAGCAGCAUGUUGUGCUGUCACCUUGUAUAUAACUUUAGUAAUGCUCUAACCAUUAGGCUAGUCUUGCUCAUCAUGUAAAUGGCCAGAUAGUUUGUGCGGCAGUGAUUCUUUCUUUCUUUCUUUUGGCUUUCUUUCCAAUUUAACACAUCUAUGAACCUGCCACGUAGUGGGGGGUAUGUUGUAUCCUGGCAUUCAUGCCUUUGCUUUUCUUUUCCCCCUUCGAGGAUUUGAUUGUAUGUAUUUUGGGCGUGUAUGUAUAGCUGUGUGCAUAUGCUAACAAACAGUAGAUUGUAUCAGAUCGUGUUCCUUGAGCCGUUUGUGUAACUGGACAAGUGCAAUAUAAAUAAAGUCCAGUUAGUUGUUCUUGCUGACA